GGUGUUCUCUUGUGAUCGUGACUGGCACAAGCUGCGUCCUUCUGCAGAAGUAAAUUUGCCUUGCUGAGAAAAUUUCUGUUUGAGUGCUAUUUCUUUUGCAGCACCAAAACUUAUUUCUAACAAAUUUGGGGGCCUGUGUGGGAUUCCCAUUCUCCUCUGGGGAAGGGUCCGGUCCUCUCCCAUGAGGAGGCACAUCCUGCUGCCUCAUUGCGGUAGCCUCAGGGGUAAGGAAUCGAGACUCACUCAGUGUGAUGAAUAAACCUGGACUCUCAGCAACACAGGAAGAAACAGACCAACAACUUUGAAAAAAGAAAAAAAAAAGGUAAUCACAUACUGUGGUGUCCAGGUAACUCUGUGCACAGAUCAAGGUAAGAAACCUCACAGUGGCGACAAAGUAUUUCCUUGAUGAUCGGAACAUCUCGGAGGUUGGAAGUUGAAAGUGUGUGAAUAAGCACUACUGGUGUGCGGAGUGAGCGAGUCCAAUCUGUGGUUCUGUGGUCACCUCAUAUGACUUACAGCAGCCUUUUGGGGGUCCUGUCAGGGGUUUAUACUGACCCACCAAUGUUAAAAGGGACAUGAUGUUCCCUUCGGGGAAGCAGCCAGAGAGGAGGAAACGAAAGGAAAAGAGUGCAAGAAGCCUCCACUAGGGGGUAUUGAGGCUCUGGAGAAAAGGAAAGCAAGAAAUCCCAAUAUGGGUGGGGCGGGGGUGGGGGUUGAGCCUCUAGAAGAAAGGAAAGGCGAGAAAUCUCCAGUAGAGGGGAUUGAGCCUCACACAAACCUCCAGUCAUAGGGAAGGCAAAAAAUUUCCAGUAGGGGAAGUUGAGCCUCACCCUAAAACCAUCAAGAUGGGAAAUACCCCAAGUAAGACAGAGAGUAAAAAGGAUAAAGCUAACAGCAAUGAUAUUCCCCUUAAUAGUCCUCUAGGUCUCAUGUUAAAGUAUUGGAAAGAUAAUGAAAGGACUAAGCAUAAGAAAAAGCAACAAAUGUUAAAAUAUUGUUGUUUUAUUUGGACCUAGGAACUAAUCCUCAAACCCUCAGUUUUCUGGCCAAAAUUUGGGUCAAAUGAGGAUUGCAUUUGUCAGCUUCUAAUAGAACAUGUUAAUAACAAGAGUCUAGUUUCCCAAGAAGAGAUAGAUUAUGCUUUGUGUUGGCGACAAGGACCUGUUCUUCUCUACCCCCUAAAAGCUCUAAAAGAUAAGCAUAAGCCACAGAAUGUUUCCCCUAAGGAAACUGAAACUCUGAACUCCAAGCUCUCUAUGCCUUGGGACCUGCUAGGUCACCUUCCCCCACCAAACACCCCUAUCUUUCCUCCCCUCAAGAGCUGCUGUCCCAGACCCUUCUCCUACCGCUAUUGUUCCCCCUCCUUAUAACCCUGCCUCUUGGAAAUUGUCCCUAGAGCCCACUCACUACCAGCCUAAGUACCCUUCCCUAAAGGGACUUCAAAGUGAAACAGCAAUGUAAAGAAGAUAUUCAAAAUUGCCCCUCCCCUUUUACCUCAGGGGAAUCAGCUCCAGCUCUCUUCCCCAUUGAGGGAGGUGCCCCUAGGAGGAGGAGACAUUGGCUUUGUAAAUGUUCCUUUAACCAUCUCAGAAGUAUGAAACCUAAAAAGAGAGCUUAAGUUACUAUUAGAUGACCCUUAUCGGGUAGCAAACCAAAUUGACCAAUUUCUAGGACCACAGUUAUGUACCUGGGCUGAGCUAAUGUUCAUCCUAAGCAUCCUCUUCUCAGGGGAAGAAAGAAGCACGAUCCAUAGGGCUGCUAUGGUAGUCUGGGAAUGUGAACACCCUCCCGGCCAAAAUGUUCCUGCAGCAGAUCGAAAAUUCCCCACCCGAGACCCCUGGUGAGACAAUAAUAACGC
rnacentral:lncRNA from 1 species